ensembl:piRNA 21ur-4567 ncRNA
UAAAGACAAUAGUUUGAUUCA